UACGGAGGGGGCUAGCGUUGUUCGGAAUUACUGGGCGUAAAGCGCGCGUAGGCGGCUUUGUAAGUUAGAGGUGAAAGCCCAGGGCUCAACCCUGGAAUUGCCUUUAAGACUGCAUCGCUUGAACAUCGGAGAGGUAAGUGGAAUUCCGAGUGUAGAGGUGAAAUUCGUAGAUAUUCGGAAGAACACCAGUGGCGAAAGGCGACUUACUGGACGAUUGUUGACGCUGAGGUGCGAAAGCGUGGGGAGCAAACAGG
rnacentral:rRNA from 1 species